rnacentral:misc_RNA from 1 species
GAUGAAGAACGCAGCGAAAUGCGAUACGUAAUGUGAAUUGCAGAAUUCAGUGAAUCAUCGAAUCUUUGAACGCAUAUUGCGCUCUUUGGUAUUCCGAAGAGCAUGCUUGUUUGAGUAUCAGUAAACACCUCAAAGCUUUUGGAUUUUUAAUCGAAAAGCCUUGGACUUGAGCAAUCCCAACACCCAUCUUUUUGAGAUCGGUGGCGGGUUGCUUGAAAUGCAGGUGCAGCUGGACAUUCUCCUGAGCUAAAAGCAUAUUCAUUUAGUCCCGUCAAACGGAUUAUUACUUUUGCUGCAGCUAACAUAAAGGGAGUUUGACCGUAUUGGCUGACUGAUGCAGGAUUUCACAAGGGUCGGCAACGAUUCUUGUUAAACUCGAUCUCAAAUCAAGUAAGACUACCCGCUGAACUUAAGCAUAUCAAUAAGCGGAGGA